CACCGCCGCUGGUCCACCUUGGAGCCGCCGUCGAAGCAGAGCCGCGGAAAGAGAUGAGUUCGCGUAGGGAAGAGAGAAAUGAAACUGGGAGAGAAAACGAGCACGAGAGGAAGGAGACGGCCGUUCUCAUCGCUGCUAGAGGUUCCACCGCCAUCGUUGGUGCCAACCGAAGUCACCGCCGCCUUUGCAAGCUUUUUCCGAGCUGUUUUAGUUCUGGUCCUGCUACAACUCGCCAAUGUCCCUACUCAUUUCUAACAUUUGUUCAGCCUUCGCCAUAGCUUGCCGUCGCUGGAGAAACACUUCCGGAACUGCUCAAAUUCGCUGUACCAUUCUUGUUGCGCUCCGAUCGAUUUGAAUCUACCGCUUUUCUUGGUGUUAUGGUCAUUGUCGUUAUAACGGGGAGUUAAUGUUGUUGCUACUAUUGCAGUUCUGGUUGCUGCAGUUUUGAUUUCUAUGAGUUUCAAUACUAAGAUGCAGUGGCUUGCCACCACUUGCUCCAGGUUGAGACUCGAUACUCU